rnacentral:ncRNA from 1 species
UACCUGGUUGAUCCUGCCAGUAGUCAUAUGCUUGUCUCAAAGAUUAAGCCAUGCAAGUCUAAGUACGAGCUCUCGUACAGUGAAACUGCGAAUGGCUCAUUAAAUCAGUUAUGGUUCAUUUGAUCGUACAGUUUACUUGGAUAACUGUGGUAAUUCUAGAGCUAAUACAUGCGAGAAGCGCCGACCUCGCGGGAGGCGUGCAUUUAUCAGACCAAAAACCGGCCGCGUCUUCGGGCGCGUUCGCCUUGGUGACUCUGGAUAACUUUGCGGAUCGCACGGUCUAGCACCGGCGACGGAUCAUUCAAGUGUCUGCCCUAUCAACUUUCGUCGGUACGGUAUUUGCCUACCGAGGUUCUUACGGGUGACGGGGAAUCAGGGUUCGAUUCCGGAGAGGGAGCCUGAGAAACGGCUACCACAUCCAAGGAAGGCAGCAGGCGCGCAAAUUACCCAUUCCCGACGCGGGGGAGGUAGUGACGAAAAAUAACAAUGCAGGACUCGUUCGAGGCCCUGUAAUU